AAUAUCAACCACAAUUGUCAACCGUGUAAUCGUACAAAUUAUUCAAUCUCGUGUGCAUAAUUGUGCCCCUUAAAUUACCAGAGUACCAUAUUAAUCCCACCCCGAGAAGGGGCAAGAUUGGUAAUUUAUGGUGGUAUAAAUUGGGGCCUCUUGCUCAUCAGCGAAGCACCGUUAGCCCGGAAACAAAGAAUUAGGGUUGAUAGAGAUUGGGGAUUUCUUCAAGGGUGGUUACCCCUCUCUUUUUGCCCAAUGAUUUCUUCGUUUUCAAAAUCUAACAGCCCUUAAAGAGAAAUCAAAACCAAGUAAAUAAUAACAAUAAUAAUAAAAUCCCUUGUUUGAGCUCCAUUAUUCUUAAACGUUCGGCUAAGCUUCAUAGUUGAGCCUCCGUUUGGUGAAAUUUAUAUAUUGUUUCGGAGUUUUGCAAAUUUCCCUUCGAGGAAGUUGACCUAUUGAGUAGAAAGGGGCUGUGAUGAUUUUUCUCUUUUUGUUUCUGAGCUAAUGGAUCGGGCAUUGAGAUGAUCUGACCUGUAUCUUGGCGUGGCAACCCUGGAUGGCUCUGUGAUUAGGAUUUCUUUAACAGAUGCAACCAGUGAUUUGCAGCCAUGGCAAGGUCAAUUUCUCUUUGCCUGCUUAUUUUUCACAGAUCUGAGCCUCGAUUUAGGUUUUCUUUCAAUUCUCUUUCGAUUUUCUGAGGCCUGUUUUAUUUUUAAUUAUGGUGGUCUUUUGCAUAAUUUAUUAUUAUUGAUAUUCCUGUAAGAAAAGGGUAGACUUUUGGUAAGAAGUAUCUUUUAUUGAGUCUUUAUUAUUAUUAUUAUAUUUUGUUUUUGUCAGUUAAUUACUAUUUGGAGCAUAUCUAUAUUUUAAAAAAAGAAUUAUGUGGGGAUUUUUGAUGAGGAUUUUUCUAUUUGUAAAUAAAAAAUGUUCAUAAUGAAUUACAUAAUAUGAUGGGGGAGUGACAGUAUUUGAUGAAAAAAUUGAAUGUAUUUUAAGCUAACAAAUGUUAGAAUGUCACGUGGCAUUAAGAAAUUCUUUCCUCACAUGCAUUAUUUAUUUUUAUUUUUAUUUUUUGUAAAGCAAUUGGAUAGUAAUGAGUUAAUCUACAAUUGGCUUUAGCUCUCUUCCAUGCAAUGGCAUUUCAGCUCGACGUCGCACAUUAACCUUUUAACAAGAGUUCAAAUUACUCGUGCUACUAUACUAUACUUUGGAUGUCCAGUGGGUCUAAUGUUCGACUGUUGUGACUUAAAAAACUUUCAUUUCAUUUGGAGGGUCGUGAUUUGAGGGAACAGUUUAUCGCAUGAUUAGUCCCAUACGUCUUCGCUUGUAAAUCCAACUAACAAACAUAACAUAAGCUUACACCAACUUGAAAUAAUUGCGUGCUCGUUUG
rnacentral:lncRNA from 1 species